CCCCUGCGGCUUGCCCUUCAGCGCACUGGCACUGCCCACCCAAACGGGCGUCGCGGGUCCUGGUCAGUCUCUAGGAUCGCGCUCGCUGAUAGGACGCUUCCGGUCGAACGUCCAAACAAGGAGGGAUGGACCCCCACAGAUGAUUCUUACAAAGAAAAAUCCUCCUGGGCCGGGCACGGUGGCUCACGCCUGUAAUCCCAGCACUUUGAACGGAUCACCUGAUGUAGGGAGUUCGAGACCAACCUGACCAACAUGGAGAAACCCCGUCUCUACUAAAACAGAAAAUUAGCCGGGCGUAGUGGCGCAUGCCUGUAAUCCCAGCUACUCUGGAGGCUGAGACAGGAGAAUCGCUUGAACCCGGGAGGCAGAGGUUGUGGUGAGCCGAGACCGCGCCAUUGCACUCCAACCUGGGCAACAAGAGCGAAAUUCUGUCUCAAAAAAAAAGAAAAAAAAAAAAAGAAGAAAAGAAAAAUCCUCCUGGAAGUCAAGUAAAAAUGUGUGAAGGUGUUUUUAUAAAAUAUGAAAUAUCCAGAAUACACAAAUCUAUAGAAGGACUCGGGGAAAGGGGAGUGAAUGCUAAUAAAUACAGAGUUUCUUUCCGGGGUGAUGAAAAUGUGCUAGUACUGAUUGUGGCCACGCUAGCACAAAAAUCUGUUUAAUUGGCCAGACGCUAUGGCCCAGGGAAAAGAAGGACGAGGGGGAAUGGGGAGUGAAUGCUAAUGAAUAUGCAGUUUCUUUUUGUGAUCAUGAAAGUGCACUAAAAUUUUGAUGCUAGCACAAAAAUUGAAUUGUACACUUCAAAUAGGUAUAUUUGUGAUAUGUGCAUUCUAGCUCCAUAAAACUUUCAAAAUGUG